rnacentral:rRNA from 1 species
UACGUAGGGUGCAAGCGUUAAUCGGAAUUACUGGGCGUAAAGCGUGCGCAGGCGGUUUUGUAAGUCUGUCGUGAAAUCCCCGGGCUCAACCUGGGAAUUGCGAUGGAGACUGCAAGGCUAGAAUCUGGCAGAGGGGGUAGAAUUCCACGUGUGAGCAGUGAAAUGCGUAGAGAUGUGGAGGAACACCGAUGGCGAAGGCAGGCCCCCUGGGUCAAGAUUGACGCUCAUGCACGAAAGCGUGGGGAGCAA